GACAGAGGGUGCAAACGUUGUUCGGAAUUACUGGGCGUAAAGCGCGUGUAGGCGGCCAAGCAGGUCGGAUGUGAAAUCCCUCGGCUCAACCAAGGAAGUGCAUUCGAAACCGCAUGGCUGGAGUCCCGGAGAGGAAGGUGGAAUUCUCGGUGUAGAGGUGAAAUUCGUAGAUAUCGAGAGGAACACCGGCGGCGAAAGCGGCCUUCUGGACGAGGACUGACGCUGAGACGCGAAAGCGUGGGGAGCAAACAGG
rnacentral:rRNA from 1 species